rnacentral:rRNA from 1 species
AUCUUGGGAAAUUUCAUCGUGAUGGGGAUAGAUCAUUGCAAUUGUUGGUCUUCAACGAGGAAUGCCUAGUAAGCGCGAGUCAUCAGCUCGCGUUGACUACGUCCCUGCCCUUUGUACACACCGCCCGUCGCUCCUACCGAUUGAAUGGUCCGGUGAAGUGUUCGGAUCGCGGCGACGGGGGCGGUUCGCCGCCCCCGACGUUGCGAGAAGUCCAUUGAACCUUAUCAUUUAGAGGAAGGAGAAGUCGUAACAAGGUUUCCGUAGGUGAACCUGCGGAAGGAUCAUUG